GGCUGGAGAGAACGAGACAACACCGGUCCGUUAUCCCUCACCAACGCACUGACGGCACCGGUUGCUGCGUUUUUAAGUCCUGAUGGAUCUAUUUAUUUACGGCACACUGCGAUAAUGAAACAACGUCCGCAGAAGCUUCCAGACAACAUGUUAUAGCACAGGACCUGCAAGAAGAACAUUUGACUACUCCAGCAGCACGCUGGAGAAAAAAUUAAUAAUAAUCUUUGCUGCCUGCCAACACUCACCGAGCAGGAGGAUUUUGACAACAUUGGUCUCCCGUUUGGCCUGUUCAUCACUAAGAUCUUGCUCUAUUUUAGAGCUGUGGCCUCGAGCCUUCUUGUCUUCCUCAGAGACAACCUGAUGAAGGCACAGUCCCAUGCAAAUCUGCAGAACGAGGGGAUUUUACUUUGACUAGAGUGGUUCUGACGGUAAACUGAUCGACAUUUCAUAACAAAGCAGCAAUAUCAAUGAAGUAAGCAAUCGAAACACUUUGAGGCCUCACUCAAAGCGCAAGGGGGGGGGUAUAACUUGCAACGCAUAACAUGAACCAAAGACUGCUACCUUCAGCGGACCGGGCAGCAUUUGGAGGCAGCAAAACAUAUCACUUUUUUUUUUUAGCACGGUUCGUAGUGCCCUCAAAACCCCGGAGAAAUCCGCAGAGAAUUGUUUUGACAACGAUGGAAACGAGCAGACGAAGUGACGCCCAGGAACGGAAUCGAGGAGACUGAAUUUGCUGAUUGAGAGCACGUGGGCACAAACUGGCCUUAUUGACGAUUCACGAACGCAAUUAGCGGCGCGCGCAGCUCAUUAGGUUUCACUGUAAUUUAACUACGUUAUCAUUUUAUACACUUAGUCAUUUUAAUAUGUGUAAGUCAUACCAGUACUUUAUAUUCUCCCUUGUGCCCCGGCCCCUGCCGUGGUCGUAUAUGAGAACUAACCCAUAAGGGCAGACCAGUCGGUAUAUGGAUAUGGAAGCCUGCACCCCAUCCAUGGUGGCUUCCGUCCUUCGGAGGAGACAGAAAACCGAGGUCCUGACUCACUGAGGUCAUAAAAGAUCCCGGGGGACUUAUUGCAAAGAGUAGGGGUUGCCCCGGUCUCCUGGCCCAACCAGGCUCAUUAAAUCUGGCCCCCUAAUCAUCCUUCUGUAUGGCUGACUCAUUAAUUCCCUCACUCUCCACCACAAGCUGGUGUGUGGUGAGCGUUCUGGCGCAGAUUGGCUGCCGUGCAUCACCCAAGUGGGUGCUACACACUGGUGGUGGUUAGUGAGGUCCCCCCUUCACUGUAAAGCGUCUUUGAUUGUCUAGAAAAGCGCUAUAUAAAUUCAAUCUAUUAUUAUUAAUAUUAUUAUUAUUAUUAUUAUUCUACCUCUGCCUCUCCCUAGUGGUGAGGCAGCAGAGGAACAAGAGAGAAUGACAGCAUAUUUGCAUAAUGUGUUCAAUUAUCCCAUCUUGGACCAUUUUGUGUUCUGCGUAGCCUGUUUUCAAUCUUGUGUGCGCCUUCCUUAUUAUAUAAUUGUAAACCAAUCAAUUAUAUGCUUCAUGUUGGCACACAGGAGAAUUAUUUCUUCGAAAUCUUUAUGAAAUCAUUAUUUGAAAAGUGACCUGACAUUGUCUUCCACAAUGCUUACCUUCAUUAUGAGUUGAAUAUAUAUAUGUAUAUCUAUGACCAAACACAUUUUCAACGUUCAUAGACAUGAUGACAAACACUGUUUAGUUUAGAUUAAGUGUGUGUUAUUAUUGUUGUCGUGAUAUACUGUAGGUCAUCUUCAACAUUGUGUACAGUAUUUGUCAUUGAGCAUUUCUCCAUAACAUACAUAGUAUAGCCUACAAUGAGUACAUUCCAACUUGAAAUACAGUACAUAGUUACACUUUGAAACAAUCAAAACAAUUCAACCAAAGUUAAAGAAAAGGUGGUCAGCAAAAUAUA